rnacentral:rRNA from 1 species
AUGGCACCUGCAUCAGCUUACCGCGUGAGUGAAGAAGGCUGCGGGUUGUAAAGCUCUUUCGCAAGGGAAGAAAACUUUAUGAUCGAAUAAAUCAUGAGGUUGACGGUACCUGCAUAAGAAGCACCGGCCUAACUACGUGCCAGCAGCCGCGGGUAAGUACGUAGGGUGCGAGCGUGAAUCGGAAUUACUGGGCGUAAAGCGUGCGCAGGCGGUUCUUGUAAGUCGGAUGUGAAAUCCCCGGGCUCAACCUGGGAACUGCGUUCGAAACUGCAAGGCUAGAGUGUGUCAGAGGGGGGUAGAAUUCCACGUGUAGCAGUGAAAUGCGUAGAGAUGUGGAGGAAUACCAAUGGCGAAGGCAGCCCCCUGGGAUAACACUGACGCUCAUGCACGAAAGCGUGGGGAGCAAACAGGCUUAGAUACCCUGGUAGUCCACGCCCUAAACGAUGUCAACUAGUUGUUGGUAGAGUAAAAUCUAUGAGUAACGUAGCUAACGCGUGAAGUUGACCGCCUGGGGAGUACGGUCGCAAGAUUAAAACUCAAAGGAAUUGACGGGGGCCCGCACAAGCGGUGGAUUCUGUGGAUUAGUUCGAUGCAACGCGAAAAACCUUACCUGGACUUGACAUGUACCGAAUUGAGCAGAGAUGUUCAAGUGCUCGAAAGAGAACGGUUACACAGGUGCUGCAUGGCUGGCGUCAGCUCGUGUAGUGAGAUGUAGGGUUAGGUCCCGCAAGGAGCGCGAACCUUGUCCUUAAUUGCGGCAUUAGUUGGG